GGCACAGCCACAACUGCACCAAGGCCGGGAGGACCCUGGACUUCCCCGACGGAGACCCCCCUCUGCAGCUGCAGUGGUACCUGGGGGCAUAGGCCGGUGCCGCUCUCGUGGAAGGAGCAGAGGGGCUGCCGGGGAGGAGCAGGGGAGGAGUCCUGGGGCCAACAGGAGGGAAAGAGGCUCCCCAGUGUCCUUGGAACCAGGUCCUCUGCUGCCAGUGACUUCAUCCUGCAGGAGACUCAGCUUCUCCAGAUGUAAGAAGGAGUGACUAGAAAAUGUACAGAGAGGGGUGUCCCCCACCCUGCUGGUCAGGUUGGCGCUCAGAGCAGCCGGAAAGCUUUGGGCAAAGCGGCUGUGGGGUGGCACCCCCUGCACUGCCAGCCUCACUGUGGAAAAAUGUCCUACAUUUCCCAGGCGAGUUUCCACAUCCAUAAAAUGGGGUCAGUAAAUACAUCAUCGUGCCCAUAUGAUUCUGAGAACUAAAUGACACAAUUUGUUAAAGCAUUUGGCACAUAGGAUGAACUUAAUAAAUUAUUACGUGAAAAAUACCGUUGGGGACUCCAGGGCUCACGCGCGUAGAGCCUUGCCAGGCUGGCAGUGUUAUUUGGAAGGAGCCAAAAGCACUAAUAUAAAAUUUAACAGGGGAAGGAUAAGCUUCUCUGCUAAAGUUCAAAACACGAGUUCUGUAUAAAUAUUUUCCGUUUCUGUCUAGAGAAGUCCCCCUCCCACCCCCCGUAAUAAGCCCCUGGAACCUCUGGCAAGAAACGUCAAUGGGAACACAGCCUGGGGUGACUCCCAGCGUCCGCCUGUUUCUUUUCUCAAUCAACAAACCCUUUAUUAGCCCCGUCUGUGCACCCCGAGUACAAAGCUGGGGCGGCCAGGGUUGGGGGGAAUGCCGGGCCCGCCUGCCUCCGGGGAUCAUCAUCCAAGCCUGCUCGGCCUUCGCUGCUGAAAGUUCAGAUGACAGCCUGACAUUGACCGAGUGUCUGGCCUUCUUCCACUCAGAAACACAUUGGGAAAUGGAUAUUCUAGAGGAGUUAUCCAGCAACCAUUUCUUGGAAUCGUAAAUGUCUGAGGGUUGCUUCAAGCCUGGAGACGACCUUGUUUUCUUUAUCUGUGGGGCCAACAUUUUAAUGCUACAUCUGUGUGAGUAUCUUUUGAUAAUAAGAACCAAAUGUUGUCGGUGGAAAUGACUGGAAAUUACACUUCGGAUCAGAAUGUGGGGUUUUAGGUUCCCUCUUGGAAGGCAGCGCCGAGAAACAAACACACAAGACGUUUGCUCGAUAAAUCACCUCGGAUGUUGC
rnacentral:lncRNA from 1 species